AAGGCAAAGACUGUUAUCUCAUGCGUGUUUGAUGCCAAUGCUGGAAUUACUUGAAAUGAUAAAUUUGUCUAUGCUCGCGUUAAAUGCUCACAAAGUGUUGGUU